AGCCAAAGCUCUCCCUUAUCCUCUGACCUCUUAGUUUGCUACUGCUUAUUGCAUUUGCUCUUCCAUCGACUCUUAUGAAGGUGGUGGAGGGAGAGAACUUUAAAUGGAUUUCUGUCAGAAAUGGGAAAUCGUUCUCGAGCUGCCGCACCUCCACAGGUCUGGUUAGAGCGUGAUAGAAGUUGGUCAAAGUUUAUUGAAAGGAGAGGGAAAACGGUCUGAACAGGGGGGCGGCUAACGACAGACUGGAACUCAAUGCAGAUAACGAGCCGCAAACAAUAUGCAGAGCUUUGGCCGUUAUCACCGCCUGUCCUGGCAUGCCCCCCUGGCCCGGUGCGGAAUGAACUAUUUCCGCCGGAGGGUUGCACUGCGGGUUGAGUAGGGGCUAAUUGAUCUGCUCCGGGUGACGGUGUCCGCCUGGGCCGUGAGAGGGGAUUGACGUGCCCAUUUUAGUACAAUCCCGGGCCGAGGUCAGAGGGCCUGCAUUCUCGCUUCCUUCAGCUUGAUUGGUGAGACUUCCUUAAACCCUCUUGGAUCACUAACUGCAUCUGCUUUUCCAGAAGAUCAAUUUAAAAUGGUGCGUCCCAUCUCGGCGCAGCUGUGAUCUGGGUGAACUCGCACUGGCAUCCCUGCGAAGGCCAGUCAAGAAGGGAGACCUCUGCACUAAAUCCACUCUCACCAUUGACAGCAGAUUGUACACUUUCCAAGAUGCUGGAGUGAAACUCUGGAACCUGUCCAUUUAUGAAACUUCUCUUUUUAUUUGGAUUUUUUUAUUUUCUAUUUUUUUUUUGCAAAGCCGUUUUAUCUCCAAAUUGGGAUCACCAGUGCAACCCCUAGAAGCUCAAGCUGACGCACAGACAUUAAGCCUGCGUACUCUGGAGCAUUUCUGAUAAAGGCUGAAGUGACCAGGUGUAAAACAGAAUACAUCCAUAAACACCUGUAGAGUGUGCUGGAAUGAGCUGGUGGUGAGGAGAAAGAGACAGGCUGUCACACUCAGCAACAGAAGCACAUGAUGUGUUGGGCGGGCUGCAGACCAAACACCCAGACGCAGCCCUCAUCGUGCUGAGAGACUUUAACAAGGUGGCCACAUUCUACCAACACAUCAAGUGCCCCACCGGAAUAUAAACAAGGGAUGGGACGGGAGGAGGUGGUGUUGCGUUCAGGGCCUGGACCGCCCUCAAAGACCCCGCUUCAGGACACACUGAGUGAUGUCAGCGAGUUUAUGGAAGUGGUGAUGAGCUUCAUAGCAAUGACUGAGGAUGUUGUUGUUGUUGUGCCUACAGUGAAGGCUAAGUCAUUUCCUCACCAUGACUAACUAAAUUGCAUCGUGCUACAGGCUGAGGCAUGUGGUGAAGGAGGCCAAGCAAUGUUACAGGGACAGAAUGGAGUCUCAGUAUCACCAGAACUCCAGACGCAUGUGGCAAGGUCUACGGGACAUUGUUUCAGGUACCUGGGUGUACACAUCACAGAGGACCUAACAUGGACAUUACACUCGGACACUUUAGUCAGGAAGGCAAGGCAGCGCCUGUCCCACCUAAGACGUUUGAGGAAACACAAGGCCUCCCAAACCUUCUACUCUGCCACUACGCAAAGCAUCCUGACAGGAAGCAUCACCGUCUGGUACAGAACCUGCUUCUCUCAGGACCGAAGAGCCCUGCAGGGAGUUGUGUGGUCGGCUGAGCGCUGCAUGGGGACCCUCCUCCCUACACUGCAGGACACGUACUCCAGGAGGUGUUUAAGCAGAGCCAGGAGGAUUAUGAAGGAUCCUCACCACAGACUUCUUGUUACGCUUCAAGGAAAUGCCUUCAAUGCCUCAAAGCUAACACAGAGAGGGUUUCUUCAAUGCCUUGAACAAAGACUCAAAAUUUUUAA